rnacentral:rRNA from 1 species
UACGGGGGGGGCAAGCGUUGUUCGGAAUUACUGGGCGUAAAGGGCUCGUAGGCGGCCAACUAAGUCGGAUGUGAAAUCCCCAAGCUUAACUUGGGAACUGCAUCCGAUACUGGAUGGCUUGAAUCCGGGAGAGGGAUGCAGAAUUCCAGGUGUAGCGGUGAAAUGCGUAGAUAUCUGGAGGAGUACCGGUGGCGAAGGCGGCAUCCUGGACCGGCAUUGACGCUGAGGAGCGAAAGCUAGGGGAGCAAACGGG